rnacentral:pre_miRNA from 1 species
GAUGUACUCCCUCCGUUCCAAAUUACUCGUCGCUGAAAUGGAUGUAUCUAGAACUAAAAUACAUCUAGAUACAUCCAUACGUGCGACAAGUAAUUCGGAACGGAGGGAGUACUUC